rnacentral:rRNA from 1 species
AUUGGACAAUGGGGGCAAGCCUUAUUCAGCCAUGCCGCGUGUGUUAAUAAGUUCUCCGGAUCGUAAUGACCUUUUAGUUGGGAGGAUGGGUUUUAGGCUGAUACCCUGAAGUUUUGUCGUUACCAACAGAAUAAGGCUCGGCUAACUCUGUUCCACCAGCCGCGGUAAUACAGAGGGUGCAAGCGUUAAUCGGAAUUACUGGGCGUAAAGCGCGCGUAGGUGGUUCAGUAAGAUGGGUGUGAAAUCCCCGGGCUUAACCUGGGAACUGCUUUCAUAACUGCUGAGCUAGAGUACGGUAGAGGGUAGUGGAAUUUCCUGUGUAGCGGUGAAAUGCGUAGAUAUAGGAAGGAACACCAGUGGCGAAGGCGACUACCUGGACUGAUACUGACACUGAGGUGCGAAAGCGUGGGGAGCAAAC